GGAUGAACGCUAGCGGCAGGCUUAAUACAUGCAAGUCAAGGGGGUAGCAAUACAACCGGCGCACGGGUGAGUAACGCGUACACAACAUGCCAUAUACUGGAGUAUAGCCUUGGGAAACCGAGGGUAAUCCUCCAUAACAUUUCGGAUAGGCAUCUAUUUGAAAUUAAAGUUUCGACGGUAUAUGAUUGGUGUGCGUUUGAUUAGCUAGUUGGUAGGUAACGGCCUACCAAGGCUACGAUCAAUAGCUGGCGUGAGAGCGCGACCAGCCACACUGGAACUGAGACACGGUCCAGACUCCUACGGGAGGCAGCAGUAGGGAAUAUUGGACAAUGGGCGAAAGCCUGAUCCAGCCAU
rnacentral:rRNA from 1 species